CACCUUUUUUAAUUUCAUUAGUUUGAUUUCAUGUUUAAAAAAUGUGAUCUGUAGGUAAACUAUGUUCUGGAUGAUCGAAGACCAAAGGAUGAAAUCAUAGUGAAAGAUGGUCAGACAUGCUUGACAAGAGAAUCUCAUUUCCUUGGGAAAAAUAAACUACAUGGAUUCUAUGGUGAGUAUUAAGUACCCUAUUUGUGUUGUGUUAAGAUAUUUUUGGAGACAAAUCUAUCUAUGCAUAAUUAUAGGUGGGAAAUGCUUGCUUGAGACUUGUCAAGGCAAUGAUACAGAAGCAGGGAAAAUAUGUUUUUAUAAUUGAUCUCCACAUCCCUCCAACAUGGCUCCAGCCUUUGUGCUGUGACCCUUUGUGUAGUCUUCCAGUUGAAGUAAACGGCUUAAACAAGAAGACAACAAGAAGACCUCAUUGUGCCUGUGAUUUGUUCAUUAUUAAGUCAAAAUGAAAUUAACUUAAACAUUUGGUCUUAAACAUUUGGGUUGAUGUUUUAUGUGCUUUUUUAUGGUAAAACAUUAAUAUUCAUUGUUAAUUCAUGACACCUAAUGCUGUAACUUUUUGGAAUGGAUUUUUUUAUUUUUUUUUUGAGGGAGAGAGACCGGCGACCAACGUGAAUGUGUGUGCAUCUGUGUUGACAAAUAAAUUCAUAAAUACUUUCUCAAAAGUAGCUUAAUGUCAGUUCAUUUAAGCUUAGUUUAAGAAAUAAGUUAUUGAUUCAGAUGUCCUUUUUUUAUAUAAGGAAUAAAAGUUUCUUAAUAGACGUUCAUAUAUACACUGCGUUCCAAAUUAUUAUGCACUUGACAUAUCAGUAAGAUUUCAGUA